UCCGAAGAAUUGGUAUGCCCGUUAGCUUGUGUAUUGUGUGCUCCACUGCGCUUCCUCCUUGCAGUCGGAGACAUUUGUUUCAAACAUUCCACGUCAUUGAAUACAACUUGAGCUCCACCACCACUUGUAGGUACAAUGUCACCCUGAAAAAUUAAAUGUGAUAAUACGAUAUGUUUUUGAUUUUGAAACAAAUCCUAUCGGAUUGUUACCAGUAAAAUAUAAAAAAGUUGAAACAGUACUGACCUUGUACAAUUUAGUCUCAAGCUCCCCAUCCGUAUCAUGUUCCUGAGCUACAAGGCAAUAUCUGGAUGCACCUUCGGUGAUGUCUUUAGGGUCAGUAAGCCGAGUGAUGCUACGUCGCCGAUUCAUCAAUGGUUGAAGUACUGUUCCAACAGGGACCAGAGCUCCUGGCCUGUGAUCUACCCAUCUGUCAGCGCUUUGAGAACGUCUAUGCCUGAGAUUUACUACAGGUACUUUAUCCUGGAAAAGUAUUAGGAGAUGAUUCACGACAUGAACGAGCAUCUCCAGAUUUUGGUGUCACCGGUUCGCCACCAUCGCUGAGCGCGGUCUGUAUCGGUACGGUAUCUUUAAUCGGAAUACCCAAAGAUGAACCACUGGUUUCAUCAACUAAGAUCUGCUUGACAAGCCGAAGCUUAUCUUCCUUCUCCUUCAUCUGAUUCUACAAUUCAAUAGGUUCCCGCCAGUUUGGUCAGGAUGUGAGCCAGAAAAAAAUUUGCAGGACAUACUUCAUCCUCACGUCCUCCUCGUCGAGUAGAUCAUAAACGCUGUUAUUAUAUAUUUCCACAUACGUCACAAAAACCGCAUACAGAUUAUCAUGUUCAAUGGGAAGCAUCUGUGAUUCAUCAGCCUCUCUGACAAUCAUUGGAUUACUGUCACUGUCGCUAUCACAUUUGCGGCUAAAAGAGAAUAGCAUUUCAGUAAGUUCACCCUAUUACUCUAUGAAUUUCAAGAAAACAAUAGAACUUACUUUCGGC